AUGGCUUCUUCCCUUGGCCACUUCGCCUGCCACGGCUCCCCCGCCGCUGCCUCGCCGACGCCCAGCUUGCUGGGCCGCUUCAGCCCCGACUUCUGCGCCCUCGCUGCCCUUCGGCCGAUCAGACCGGCCGCCGCCGGCGCCAAGCCCCCGAGAGACGCCACCACCUCCACCGAGCAGGAGCAACAAGAGCAGGAGCAGCAGCUCGCCUCCUCGUGGCGCGGCGCUUACGAGGAGCCGUCGCCGUCGCCGUCGGUAUCCUCGACGGAGGCGCAAGAUCCCUCGGCGCUGCGCGUGGGGAUCAUCGGGUUCGGCAACUUCGGGCAGUUCAUCGCCAGGGGCAUCCAGCGGCAGGGCCACGCCGUGCUGGCCACCUCCAGAUCCGACUACUCCGAGUACUGCUCCGCCCACGGGAUACGCUUCUUCAGAAGCUUGGAGGCGCUGUGCGAGGAGCAGCCGGACGUGCUGCUGGUUUGCAGCUCCAUCCUCUCCACGGAGUCCGUCGUCCGGGCCACCCCCCUCGCCAAGCUCCGCCCCGACACCAUCGUCGCCGACGUGCUCUCCGUCAAGCAGUUCCCCCGCAACCUCCUCCUCGAGAUCCUACCGCCGGAGUUCGGCAUUGUCUGCACACACCCCAUGUUCGGGCCGGAGAGCGGAAAGCACGGCUGGAGCAAGCUCCCCUUCGUCUACGACAAGGUUCGCGUCGCGGAGGAAGGAGGUCAGAAGGCCAAGUGCGACCUGUUCUUGAGCAUCUUCGAGCAGGAGGGGUGUCGGAUGGUGGAGAUGACAUGCGCAGAGCAUGACCGCCACGCCGCGGGAAGCCAGUUCAUCACGCACACCAUUGGGAGGGUUUUGGCGCAGCUAAACCUCCAGUCCACACCGAUCAACACCAAGGGUUACGAGACCCUCCUGCAGCUUACGGAGAACACAGUGAGCGACAGUUUCGAUCUAUACUACGGACUCUUCAUGUACAACGUGAAUGCCACAGAGCAGAUGGACAAACUGGACAGGGCGUUUGAUGAUGUGAAGCAGAUGCUAUACGGCAGGCUGCAUGGUGUACUGCGAAAGCAGAUCGUAGAGCGGGUCCCCAUGCCUGGAGCCCCUUCGUCGCGAUCGAGAGAAGGCAGGGAAAGUCCUGCUGCUAACACACAAGAGACGAAGCCCCUAUCCCCCUCCCCUUGUCAUACGUUUUCCACGGUGGCUUUCAGCACCGCAAAAUGUUGA
rnacentral:rRNA from 1 species